UACGUAGGUGGCAAGCGUUGUCCGGAUUUAUUGGGUUUAAAGGGUGCGUAGGCGGCCCUGUAAGUCAGUUGUGAAAUACGGCAGCUUAACUGUCGAGGUGCAAUUGAUACUGCAGGGCUUGAGUACUGAUGAGGUAGGCGGAAUGGACGGUGUAGCGGUGAAAUGCUUAGAGAUCGUCCAGAACACCGAUAGCGAAGGCAGCUUACUAAGGAGCAACUGACGCUGAGGCACGAAAGUGUGGGGAUCAAACAGG
rnacentral:rRNA from 1 species